AAUAUGAACAUGCAACAUUUACAAGAAAUAAAUCAGAUAAUAAUGAAAAAAGAAAAAAAAACAUAUGAUAUAAAAUUACUACAACAAAAAAAUGAUAAUAACUUAAAAAUGAUAAAUUUUUAUAAACUCGAAAUAAAUAAAUUAAGAGAAGCUCUAUUAUCAGUGAAAACUUAUUAUUACAACUAUAGAAUUAAAUCAAAAAAAAACAUUAACGAAUUAAUGAUUCAAUAUGAGAGAAUAAAAUUUCAAUUUAUUGAAUUACAAAAGAGACAAAAAAGUUAUGAACAAAAUUUUCAAAAAAAAUACACAAAUGCUUGGAACUUGCAAAAAAACGAGGCCAACAAGCACAUUGAAAAAAUUAAUAAAUGCAAAUAAAAUAAUUCACGAACAAAUCCUUUUAAAAGAAUUUCAUCAAACUAAUUAUAAACAAUUGAUAGAAGAUAACAGCAGUUUAAUUUCAACAACCGUUAAAGAUCAUGAAAUCCCUCAAACAGAGUUAAAUACAAAACGUGUUAAUAUACAACAUAUUGAAAAUGUUAAGAAGCUACUUCUGCAAGAAUGCAAUUUCCUAGUCGAAGACGAUAUCGAUGACGAACAACAAAAAAUAAAAAAACUAUUAAAAUACAUAGGUGUGUAUACACAAGAAGAUUUAGAACUACUAACACAAUUGUUUUAUUUAGAUUAUGAGCACGAAAAUGACAGUAACAAUAAUAACAACAAAGAGAGUGACCAUAAUGCGAUAAAAUAUAAUUCAGAAUAUACAUUAGAUAUAAUUUAUAAGUAUUAUCAAGAAAAAGAAAAAGAAAAUGCUUGUAAAAUAACAAAGAAUAAACAACAAUAUAAAAAUAGGUUAAAUAUUUCUUUAAAGUUAAUAAUUGAGAGAAGAAAAAAAGAAAAAGAGUUCUGGGAAAACUUAACGCAUAUUACAUCUAAUGAUAUGAUAGAAAUGUGGAAGACAUUCUCAGUUUUUGUGGAAAAGUAUUACUAUAUAUUAAAAGAUCGAGCAACUAUUGUCCAAAAUAUUUUUAAUGAAGAAAAAUUAAUCAUUGAAAAUAAAAACAAAAUUGAAAACAUGCGUGAAGCUUUAUCCAAGCUAUAAACAAGUAAAGAUUCAUAUAUUUUGUUUUUAAAGAUUUAAACCUUGUUUAGUGUAAUAAAAUAAAAAUGCAGAAGUCUGUAUUGAGAAAG
rnacentral:lncRNA from 1 species